ACUGUUCUGGGGCGGAUCUCCUUGAAUACAACGUCACCGUUCCUCCGAUACUUACCCUUUUACACUGACUGGCGUCUUGCUUCCUUCUUCAAAGAACCCAACGAUUGAUCCUGUUUCUUCCAAUCGCCUUUUGAUUCAUCCUUCCAGAUCCUCACUAUUCCACUAAAUUCUUUACACCAUGCGUUUUUUCUUCACCCACCGUCUUCACCGUUCAUCUCUUUGAUUCAUCGGAUUUCGUCGGCCUACAACAACUUCAUCGACUUAACACAGGAUAAUGCCUCCGGCAAAAGCCCCUGUUAAGUUAUUACCGGAGACUAUAAACCUGAUUCAGGUCCUUCCCAAGAACAUGCUUUCGGGCCAGGUGUGUGUAUGUGUUGAUUCUAUUACCGUGAUUCCAAUUUGAUACAGUUUCGAUGAAGACAAGAUUUUCCGAUCAGAAAUAAACGUCCGAUUCUUCAGUCAUUUAAUGUAUUUCAGACCCCGGAUUGAGUUUACUUAUGAUCUGGAACAAGAUGAUGAAUAGAAGAAUUUUGUUACCUCCCAAUAGAAGAAGCUAUUGCUUUAAUGCUAAAAGCACAUCUUUCUCACAUGUAAAUAGGAACAAGAAAUGGCUGUGACAUGAUGUUUUUUGGAGCUCCGGUGAAGCUGGGGCUAAAGAUUUCUAGGGUUCAGACCAUGUUCAAGAUAACCAUCAAGCCUCUGAGUCUCUUGUUUGGAUGAGGACAACUACUGAUCAAGGGCUUAUAUGGAUGGUAAUGAUGAGUCCAAAAAUGAAAUUAGUCAACCUGUCCACCAGACUACUCUCUAUCAGACCUCUCUUUAUAUAAACAUAGCACUCAUACCUAAUUAUUAACAACUCCAUCCCACAUAUCAGCUCUCUCAAUUCCUUGAACCGGAGAGUGAACUUUGGGCACAACCUUUAUCAAUUUCCCUUUUGCACUCAAUUCUCAUCUUCUCUGGUAAAUUUCAAAAAGUUUCAAUUUUCGUUUAUGUAUCUCAAUACAUAACAUUGAAGAGUCGGAUUAAGGAACUAGGUUGCCUAUUUCCCAUGAAACCAACCAUUUUCCCCACCAAUUUCUGUUUUUCUUCUAAUUUUUGACACAAUCAAAGGAAUCGGAUUAUAGAUUCCGUUAUGCAGCGUGCUAAAGGUAAUGCUUUUCGUGUUCCAUAGUUUCUUAUCAUGAUUAUUACCAAUUUAUAACUUUAUAUAUAUUGUUGGCAUUGCUAAACCGAUUGAUCCAAAAUCAAUGAAUGAUUGUCAUGUAUCAGAUCAACUCUGAUAAUGAUGGUGAAAUACGUUACUUUUCUUAUGUUGAAGCUAUAGUAAAAUCUUAGGACCUUAAUUGUUUUUUUCCCGCUUAUGUUCGUUAAUAGUCCAUGUGUUGUUUUAGAUACAUGAAAUGGACUUGACUCAUGAUCAAGAGUCGCUUCUUAACAAGUGAAGGUAAUGGUUUUGGUGUUCUAUUAUUGCGAAUCUGCAUUUUUAUAUAUUCUUAGGGUUUUUUGUUGUUAUAAUUAUAUAUAGUUAAUAGGUAUCAAAAUGAGGGUACUAGUAGGAUGAGUAAGACUGGAAGAAGUUUUCAAUGAUCCAUGCAGGGAGCACUAACUAUGUUUUAUGUUUGUCAUUUAUAGCAUUGCAUCAAGAAAGCUAAUGUAUAAUUUUGAUGGAAGUUGCAGAUUAAUUCUUUUUAGAAGGAAAUUUAUUACAUAAUAGUUGUGUUUUACUUGCAAGAUCAGUAUCAGUAGGGGGGAGAGAGGAUGGUCAUUUAUGAUAAUUGCCCAGGAUCAUCACUUUGAUGGUGUAAAUCAGGCGAUUAUUAUCAAGUUUGCAACUUUCAAUUUUGUAUCAUUUUCUGUGACAACCCAAAGUUUAUUCCGUUACAUUACCCCGUUACCGUUAACAGAAUAUUCCAUUUUAUAAAAGUUCCGUUAAUUUGAGGUCGUAAAAUAAAUAAACGUUUUAUUUAUUUA